UACAUGGGGUGCAAACGUUGCUCGGAAUUAUUGGGCGUAAAGCGCACGUAGGCGGUUUGUCGCGUCUGCUGUGAAAACCCGAGGCUCAACCUCGGGCCUGCAGUGGGUACGGGCAGACUAGAGUGCGGUAGGGGAGAUUGGAAUUCCCGGUGUAGCGGUGGAAUGCGCAGAUAUCAGGAAGAACACCCGUGGCGAAGGCGGCUCUCUGGGACGGUACUGACGCUGAGACGCGAAAGCGUGGGGAGCGAACAGG
rnacentral:rRNA from 1 species